rnacentral:rRNA from 1 species
UACGUAGGGUGCGAGCGUUGUCCGGAAUUACUGGGCGUAAAGAGCUCGUAGGUGGUUUGUCGCGUUGUUCGUGAAAACCGGGGGCUUAACCCUCGGCGUGCGGGCGAUACGGGCAGACUUGAGUACUGCAGGGGAGACUGGAAUUCCUGGUGUAGCGGUGGAAUGCGCAGAUAUCAGGAGGAACACCGGUGGCGAAGGCGGGAUCUGGGCCAGUACUGACGCUGAGGAGCGAAAGCGUGGGGAGCAAACAGG